CGCCGGUCGAGUCGCCACGCAAGUGUUCGUGAAACGUCACGAGUUAGCCACGUACGUGCUUGCAGCCUAUCUUAUCCAUAUCCCUUUCGUCUCCAGAGAGCCCGAACCACAUGUUUUCUUCUUCCUCUCCCUUAGAUCGUAAUCUCCACACAGGCCCGCACAAUCACCGUAACCAAGCUACGCGGCCGCAUGCUGUAGGGGGGUGCGGCCACUAACGCUGCAAGGUGCGAAGCCAAGGGGCGCUCCUCGCAUGGCCGCGCGUCCACCUUCCUUUUCUCACCUCCCACAGCGCCGUGACAACCAUGGCCAUGGGCGGGUCUGGGAGCUUGGUGGAGCAGCAUCAUCAGCUGUGGAAUAUUGGUUGUAGCAAAUUCAAUCACCGGUGGUAGCAAAAAUCUACUACGGUUGCAGCAAAACGGCGUCAUCGCCAUCACGAGUCGCAGCUGAGAUAAGAAGCUUGAAGCUUUUUUCAAUGCGGUUGUAACUUUUAUAACUGUCGGUUGCAACUUUCGUUUUUCGUCCAUGGCUUCGUUUCCACGAUUGAAACUUUUUUUAUAGUCGGAUCAAGCUUUUUUCGUUGCUAGAUGAAGCUUUUUUUGUCACCGGUUGUAACUUUUCUUGGUCAUCCAUACCUCCAGUCGUAUACUGGUUGAAGCUUUUUUCAUAGCCGGUUGAAGCUUUUCCUAUCGCUAGUUGUAGCUUUUUUCGUCAUUGGUUGUAGCACUGGGCUUCUCCCCCGGUGCUCGAUUUUUUGUUGCAAGCCGCACACCGGGGAUGAGCAGCGGCGAGCAUGGCGGCAAGCUUCAGUCGUCGCAACCGGAGCUACAAUGGUCUCAACAAGAGCUUCAACCGCGGGGUGCGGCUGUUGCACGGGGUAAAGCAACAAGGACGGACGGCGGUGGUUGGGGCUGGUGACUGGGAUGGUGGCCGGCGGGGACGAGGGCGGACGGCUGUGACGAGGACGGUGGCCGGCGGGACGAGGGCGGACAGCUGCGACGAGGACGGCAGCUUCGUGGACGAGGGCGGCCGGCGAGCUGGCUGGCAUAUGGAAGAUCACGGGGCAGUGGGGAUGAACAGAUGGCAUGACUUUUUUUUUUACCAGCGCAGCAAUUGGGGAAGAUGCAAUCGUGCGACUAUUAUGAAACGCAUCUUACGUCUACGGUACGACCGGCCGAAUUAUUCGACCGGCGCACCGGCGCAGAUCAGUGCCUUUUCUAUUUCCCUCGGUUGCUUCCCUCCAUUUUUUUCAUUUCCCUCCAAAAUAAGCUAACUGCCCAAAAAUCCUCCGCACCUCUCCCCAUCUAUCUCAACAGCACAAGUCCUGGGUUUCUCUUCCCCAACACCUCUGCCGGCUGGCGGCGGCAGGCGAUUCUCCGCCAUCUCUCCGAUUGCAGGUUAGUGCCUCCUUCGCACGGCCUCUCUCUUGCAUUCGACCUCCUACUGGGCUGAUCAGUCCGGCCACCGCGUUCGCGCACCUGUAAUCGCUCUGCCAUAGCGCGCACAGCGCCGCGUCCUCUGUUCCGGGGUCUUCAACCGGAUCAAGCCAUCGAGGGCAGCCGCGGCACCCAGCAGCUGGGGAACCCGAAGCGUUGGGCUGGGUCGUCGAGGCAACGCAGGCGUUCGCUCGCUGCUGCCAUGUUUCCCAUUCCUUGCCUUGCCUUAAUACAAAUCGGGUUGACUAGAAUCAAGGCAUGAAACCAGGCAACUAAUUAAUUAGUUAAACCACCAUACCACGCUUCGUCUAUUUGGGCCGUGUUCCGCUUGUCGAUUUUGUCAGUUAACAGCUGCUGAAGUAGUUCUUCAGUUUCGUCAGUUUAGGUUGUGUUUUUCCCUUUCCGUUAGUUUCGUCAGUAGCAAGUUUCUUCAGUUAGCAGAAAAUAAGCUGAGCUGCGACUCGGCGUAGUUUGUUAGCACUUUCCGCGGCCCUGACCUGAUCGUGGGAUGGCACGAAGGAGACGGUCAUGGCCGCAUCGCGGGGAGCGCUGGGAUGACAGCGCUCACGACCCGGACGUGCCUUGUUUCUUGUUUUUCAGUUGGUCUCUCUAAUUGCUGAAUAAGAAGGAAUAGAGAGCAGAAAGUUGUGAGGUUGAACGCGGCACAAAACUCCAUUGGCUCCCUCGUGUGAGCUCGAGCGCUAGGUCUGACAGAUUUGCUGGUCUAAGGAGUAGUUAAUUGCAAGUCUAACUAGCACGUGACAAUCUGCAUUAGCUUGUGGGUCAAUGUUGUGAAAUGUAUUACUACUUGAUCAGUGGUAUAUGUAGACCAGUGCUCAACUACAUGCUAGUUUGACUAAAUUUACAAUGUUUUUAACUUUAUGUUUUGGUUUUCUCAUGGAGCAGAUAUGACACGAAGUAAACUUCAUGUUGUUGAAUGCAAUGAUGAAUACAUGGCGGAGGAACAUAUUGAACAUGAGAAUGCCAUGCCUAAAGAUGCUGAUUCAUCUCAUGUUCAACCAUCAUCUUGUAAUAGCGAAGAAGGCUUGACUGAUAGUGAAGAUGAAGAGGACCAGGAUGACAGUGCUGCUAAUGAACAAGAUGAAGAUGGAGAAACAACCAAGCGUGGCAGGACAAGGCUAAAAGAAAUAUGGAAUCUUCCAAAAGGGCAGAGAAUUGUGGUCCAGUGCAAUGAACUAAACCAGCCAAUUGGAACAGAAGCUGGACGUCUUGCGAAUUUUCUUGGCACGGUUGCUAGGAAUGGAAAAUUGUGUAGUUUGAGCUACAAGGACUGGAGAAAACUAAUAGGAGAGAGAGAAAAAAGACCAAUGAACAAAGAAACAAAAGUGAUAUACUAGCGCAAGUAAAGAUGAGAUUUCUUACCCUUCUCGCUUGGAAAAGUAUAUAUUAAAGAAAAUUGGAGAUAGAUGGAGGCAACAUAAGUCAGAUCUGAAAGCACUGUAUUUUGAUGCAAAUAAGAGCAUGGAAGCGAAUAACACCAAUGUUCCAAAGGGUGUGAUUAAGGAUCAGUGGAUUACUCUGGUCAAUAAUUCGAUGACCCCAAAGGCACAGGGGAUAAGUGAGAAAAAUAGGAACAACUGUGCGAUGAGGAAGUCGAAACACACGGCUGGAACUAAGAGUUUUCCACGAGUUAGAGAACAGCUGAGACUAAAGGAUCCGGAAAAGAAGUACCCCCACAGGGUUGUCUUAUACAUGCAUACCCAUCAGCACAAAAGCGACAAGAAAAUGAAUGAACAAGUGGUUGAUUUGAAGAAACGGAUAGCAGCGAAUCCAGAUUUAGUAGAUACUAGUAGAGGAAAGACAGCAUGGAAAGGAGAUGUUUUGAAUGCAGUACUUGGCGCAGACAAGCCUGGACAUGUACAUGGCCUCGGACUAGUUCCGAAUCCAAAUCAAGUCUUUGAUGUGUCAACUUCACGCCACUUUCAGAAUAUACACCUUAGUUCAUUGGAGGAUACAUCGAAUGAAGAUCUUUUGGCUGUCAGACUUAAGAUGGAGAAGUUGGAGAAAAGAGUGGAAAACCAAGAUGCCGAAAUUCUGGAACUAAAAGGGAAGACAAAAAACUCUGAAGGACAGUUACAGGGUUCUUUGGAUCAGAUAUCUAAAUCUCGAGAUGUUCCUUCUAUUGCUAAGACAAUUUCAAAGAGAAAAAGAAUUUAUGGCGACGGUCAUAGUCAACAACUUGGUACUGUUGGGCAGCAGAAUAAUGUGAAGAGCAAGGAAACAUUUCUCGAUGACAGGGAGAUGCAACCAUCAUACAAACGUCCUCUUGUGGAUAGAGCAAUGAGUCUUUCAUCCAGGAUGAAAAUGUGCAACAAGAGAAGGAAAACACUAGUGCAGAUAAGGGUUCUUUGGGUGAGGAGUCUACAUCUCAAGAUGCUCUUUGUGUUGGCAAGACAAAUUCAAAACAGAAAAGCAAGGAAAACUUUCUCUAUGACAUGGAGAUGCAACCAUCAAACAAACGUCCUUCUAAGGAUAAGAACAAAGAUACUUCUAUCCAUGAUGAACAUGUGCAACAAGAGAAGGCAAACACUAGUGCAGAUAAGCUUCGUUGCCAGAACACUAGUAAGAUCUCAAGAGGAGCUAAUGCAACAAAGCAUGCCAAUAAACAACAAUGCAGUACAACAAAUUGCCUGGGUGCCGACUCGAUAGAUGUUGGCACUGUAGUCUUUUUGAAGAGCUUGGGAAAUCCAAACAGGAACGUUGCUCUUGGUACGCUCCAAAGCAUGGACCCAGAAUAUAAAGUUGAGGGUGUUCAUCUUGGUAACCAAUUCUGGGCAGUGCGAGUUGAUGCUACAUUAGCAAAAUCUGAUCAGUUGAUACGACCACUAAAAAAGGUCAACAUUAUUGGUCAUGCAGCAGGAUUAAUUAUCGCAUGGCCUUCAACCUUUAUUGCUAAGAUAAAAUUGAUGAUGUAUGGCCCAGAUGUUGAUUGCAAGGUGGACAAUGGGCUCCUAUUUGUUAGUCUUGUGUAGUGUUUUAGGAUGUCAUUUCUAGUGUCAAUGUUUCAAACAUUAUGUUUUAGAAUGGUUGUGGCGUUGAUUGAAACGUCCAGACUUAGGGUACUAUGUAGUAUCACUUAUUGUAACCUUGGGAUCAUGUUAUUUGUAAUGCAACAAAGUCAAUUUAAUAUACGAGACCUUUAUGUUCAUUAUAUUGUGGCUCCAUGCAUUGUCAGCUUUGCCAAUGUUAUUGUAGAUCACAAUAUAUGAAAUACC
rnacentral:rRNA from 1 species